rnacentral:lncRNA from 12 species
AUGAUAGUCUCUCGCCAUCUGUUCGUCUCUGCCCCGCUCGCCUCUUACUGCAGCUACAGCACGUCCUCAGUAGAUUUGUUUAAUGUUUUGACUACAUCUCGCCUUGUUUAUUCGACAGAAAUCAUGGAGAGAGCAGGGGAAUUGGAUCCUGACAGGUUGCAAGCCGGAUUCGAACCUGCGUCACCCAUACAGAGAUCAUGGAGAAUGAAAGGAGACUGGAUCAAAACAAAGGCCAGAAUCGAACCUGUGUAGCCCACAUGAGCACCACAGCUCAGCAUAUCUGACAUGAUUACGGCUUUAAUGACACAGUUCUGGAAAAACCAGCCCGGAUACCUCAGGAUUUAAGAUGUGUAAGUUUUUAUGCAUCAUCUGUACAUCAUGGGUGGUAAACACUGACAUUCUGCUCCAAAAAUACAUCCAUUAAUGAACAUAUCAUGAAAUUAAGAUACAUUGGAGGUCACACAAAACUCUCAGGUUGAAUACUUGAAGGUAAAGUGGAAUUCGCGAAUAUUACCAUCAUCCUUUAAGUUCACACGUGAAGAAGUGCAUUAAAAGUUGCCCCCUCUCAUUGCAAAGUGUAUAAAGUGCGCUAGAUGAAAAAGUACAAGUGCCACAGCACAGAGGGGGUACAGAGAGCCAGACUUUUUGAUUAAUACUCCUCUAAAUUAACUGUUUACUCUACAGACUCUUAACAUUGCCAGAUUAUGAUAAUUUUGUGACAGGCAGGGAGAUUGAUGUUUGAGAGCUUGUUUUAAUUAAUGGUUUUGUUUGUCUCUAGAGAAUGGAUUUUUUUUGUUCUUCUUCAUGGUUGCUUUUGAACACUUUUUUUAAAGAAGCUUUACAGCGAAGUAAUGGGACCCCCAUGUGUGUUUUGAAUAGAAGUGAAAAAGUGUCUACAACGAUUAUUUCGUGUUUGAAGGAGAGGCUAAUCACACAUGCCGUCGUGUUUGCUUUUUUUACUUUAAUGCUAGAGUGUCUAUCGCAUUUUUAUGACUUUUGAAAUGAUCAAAAACAAAAUUUGAUUGUUUUUGAAUGUGUGUGUGUGUAGCGCAAUUGUUAAAAUCUCUCAUUUAUGUGUUUAUCGUCGGAUGUACCAUAUUCCCUCAAAGUUUUAAGUAACUUUGUUUGAAAUUCACUUAAAGUAACAUUAUUUCAAAUCUUGUUUAUGUUCACAUAAUCAUAAUGAAGGCUUGUUAUGUAAUUUCUUUAUUAAAAAUGCACU